GUGGGAGCGGGUCUGGGCCGCCUGGGGGACCUCGGAGUCGGUGCGUUAUGCAUACAGCGACAAAUAGAUCGUAACUUCGUGGCGGCGAGGGCUCAUCGCCGGCUCCGAAGGCCUCGCAGCGGCCUGGCCCCACGCCGGGGGGCCGUGCUGGGGUCGUAGGGGAACUGGAGCGGACGGACGGACGGACGGACGGACGGCAGCUUCGGGCCGCUGUGCGGGAGCGGCGUCCUCCGCCCCUCCGCCUCUGUGCCGCGCAGGCGCUCCUGACCGCGCUGUCCCGGUGCCGCUCCGCGAGCUUUGGCGUCGCUCCGUACCGCCGCACUCCGACGGGGACCCGGCGCCGAAGGGCCGGUGCUGCUGCCGCCGAACUCCGCGUGUUCGGCCCCGAAGGCGCCAUCCGAAUGCGGAAAUAUGGGUAAAUGGGGGACGGCGGUGUCCGUGCGGUCACCUCGGGGAGCGCGGCGCGGCCGUGGGAAGGGCUCGGCGCCUCUCCGUGGCUCUUCCCGUCCUUCCUCGUGCAGAUGCAGCGCGCUGCAGUGGGAAGAAACCGUGGUGGUCGAGCGCAGACCCGGCGAUGAGGAUGGAGAUCAAAUACGGAGCUGAUAGACACCAGGACCUGGAGCAUAUGAUGUAGACCGGGGCUAUCGAGCUUGCUUACCCAGCUCCCCCAGCAUCACCAUCCAAGGAGUCAGGAGGCCCAAGAGACACGAAACCGGCCCCUUUACAACGUUCUGAGAUGGACUACAGAAUUCCACUCCUAACCACAGGGCUUGCUCCUCAUUUCAGUAGUAAAAAGAAAAAUGCACAGAAGUUCACCUCAGUCUGAGUUGCAUUUUUUCUAGUAAGCAGAAAACCCAAUCUCCUGAGUGAAGGUAUGAGAAAAGUCCGAGCAAAGAGCCUAC
ensembl:lncRNA